AAACAAAAAACCUCCUUUCAAGAAUCUUUCAAAAAUGUAAAUAAUUAACCUGCCUGCAUCCCAACAAGUCAAAAAUUUCGUUUUGGAAGGAAGGAGAACUGUAAGGAAAGCAAUAUGCAAAUAUGUAUGCUAAUAUCAGGACGAAUAUAGUGACGCAACCAGUCUGAUAGAUUCGCCCAUGUGCGGGCAGCUAAAUGGUGCCGGCCUGUGCCAUACAAUGAGGCAGCAAGUCUUGGGUGCAAUGUGCAAUUGAAAGUAGGGCGAAUGGAAAAUAAAGAUGGUUUCAGGCAGCAGGCUGCAGGCUGCAGAAACUGAA